UACAGAGGUCUCAAGCGUUGUUCGGAUUCAUUGGGCGUAAAGGGUGCGUAGGCGGCGCGACAAGUCACUUGUGAAAUCUCUGGGCUCAACCCAGAACGGUCAAGUGAUACUGUCGUGCUAGAGUGCGGAAGGGGCAACUGGAAUUCUUGGUGUAGCGGUGAAAUGCGUAGAUAUCAAGAGGAACACCUGCGGCGAAGGCGGGUUGCUGGGCCGACACUGACGCUGAGGCGCGAAAGCUAGGGGAGCGAACGGG
rnacentral:rRNA from 1 species